AUGUCCACCAACAAGCUUUACCAUGUCACUCUAUCGGAGCCUGCCUUCCGCACACGCCACAUCAUGGGCUCCUCGUACGGCUGGCUCAUCACUGCGGAUGAGCGGUCGAAUCUCAUACUAGUCAAUCCUGCAACCAGAGCUCAGAUAGCUAUGCCUCCACCUGAAACCAUGAACAAUGUUAGACUGCGCUACACUGAAGAGGGCGUGCUAGAUGGAUAUGAUGUCCUUUACAUGGAUCUGUUCUCUUCGGAUUUUGACACAGAAACGGAGCCAUACCAUCUUACACUUGAAGAAGCCCGCUUCUUCUUUUAUGAGAGGGUUGUUCUUUCUUGCGAUCCUUCCCAAGGAAACUGCACAGUGCUACGAGUACAACUGCCCAAUAAUCAACUCUCUUAUACCAGGGUUGGGGACUCCAAAUGGACUUGGAUUGGUGGAAAAGGCAAUUGCUGGAAAUAUCAAGAUAUUCUUCAUAACAACAAUGAUGGUUUGUUUUAUGGUGUUCGUGGUAGGGGUGAAGUUGAUUCUAUUAAUCUUAAUGGACCUUCCGCUGAAGUGAAAGUUAUUUUGAAGCCGAUCAUAUCCUAUCAAGCGCAUAGUAGAUAUAUUGUUCAAGCACCAUGGGGAGAUCUUUUCCAGAUAUGGAGACAUGAUAAGUAUAGUAAUGAGAAUGGAAAAAGAGAACGGGUUGCAGACAAGUUUUUCGUGUACAAGAUUGAUUUGUUGAACAAAAGCUUGUUGAAAUAA
rnacentral:rRNA from 1 species